UUUGGCAGCAUAACACAGUGAGAUGCAGCUGGUGUUGAAUUUCUAGAGUCUUGGAGUUGUGAUUGGAUGACCUCUCAUGCACUCUGUGUAAGAAACAGCUGGGAAGAAAUUUGAAAGGUCUUUGUCUUAUCCAGGUAAAAAAACAGAGCUCAAUAAAAGUUGUGGGAGGGGGGUUGUAGAGUUCAUCUUUGUGAUUAUGCAGCUUUGGGAAGAAAACUGGCAGCUAUAUAGACUGAUUCAGGUGGAAAUCAGAUACCACUUUUGAGAAAAACUUAGUGAAUGGAAUGAACUUUCUUCUUGUAGAAAAGUUUGUAUGGUGGAUAAGUGACCAAGGCAUUCAGUUCUCUCACUCUCCUAGUGGAGGCAAUAGCCAUGCAGGAAGCUAUAUUCACUGACCUGUGUGGGAGCAAGCACAAUGCUAAAGACUUGAAAGGAAGAUCCCUCAGAGCCGACAACACUAAAUUCAGAUCCCAAAAAGGAGCUAGGUCCCUGAUGGAUAGAAGAGGAAGAGAGAAGGGAAGUCCUCUGCACUUAUGGUCUUGGGUCAUCCACCAGGUUAGAGAUGACAACAUCCUGUCUGGGGUGCAUAGCAACUUGUCUAGAUGGUAAAUCUGAGGACAAUAGACCAACUUGAGCAUGCCUGUAAUGCUCUGAGUUUCAGUCUGGUGUGCGUCGCUCACAUAUGUACAUGCAGCCAUAUGAUCUAAGAGCCUGAGGCAAUUCCUCACAGUGGUCUGAGGGACCUUGAGGGAUGCACAGAGGCUCAGUAUAAUCUGAAAUAUGGAAAGAGAUCAAAAUACUGAGGCAAAGGUCAAAUCCAGGACUGCCCCCAAUGAAUUCUGUUCUUUAUAGAGGGAAUAAUGUUGACUUUUCUUUGUUCAGUUUCAGGCCCAGGAUGUUGAACAGACACAGUUUGAUGGACAGCAGCCUGUUCUUGGGAUCUGGAGUGACCAUGAACCAAUCAUCCAGAAGAAACUGUCUGCAUUCCUCCCUCACCUCUUGGAACUAUGGGUACCUGUCUUGGACUCAGUCCCCUGAAGCUGUGACAUUAAACAUUUGUUGAGGGAACCCAUUUUGAUAAAGCUUGACAGGUUCUGAAUUCAAUCAAAAAUUCUCCACCCUGAGACCUGGGAAAAUACAAGAAAAUCACUCUAUCAGCACUGACAAUAAUUGGUGAGACAUUCGAAAUAUUGUAAACCAGGUAAGUGAUGGUUCAAUGCUAUGAGUAAUUAAUACACACAUACACUAUGGAAAAAUCAAUGGACUUAAAUCCUUGACUAGCAUACUUUGAAUGGAACAUUAUUUAUCAGAAAAGAAGCUCAAUACAACCUUUAAAAUUUAAGUGUAAUCAUUCUUUUUUCAAUGUUCUGAGGCAAAUUCAAUUUCAAACUUCCCUACAAUUGAGUUUAUGCAUUUUCACAGUAAACACUAAACUCCCAGGGUAGCUAGGUAGAAAAGUGUUCAAGUUAUAUAUUGCUGUAGUUCAAACAAUAUUCUUGGCUAGGUUUAUCUAGAAACCAAUGGCUUUUUUUGCAGGGGGUAAGCAAAUUAAUUAGUUCUCUGUGAGGUAUAAAGAACAGGCAACACGAGUUCAGGCCACACUCCAAGGCUUUGGUUUGAAGGCUAGAGAAAACUGAGCUAAUUACAGAUGAUACACAUUUGUGGUUGGAGGGAAUCAGAAUGCCCUGCAACAGCUGACAAAGGAGCAGUAGGGGUAGAAGCGCAAGAUAAAUUACUGGAGGUGGAUGUUUGUAAAUGUGGAGGGACUCAAAUAAAAUGUUUUCUAUAAAUACCAGGAAGAGAAAUCAGUUUAGUGUAUAAAUCUCUUUCAUGAACAAAUAAAAUUGAUUCACAAAUGAAUUAACAUUCAUUUAACUGAACUGGAUGCAUUUCUCUAUAAAUGCUAACAUUUGUUAAAGUUAUGAGUAAUAUAACAAUGGUUAUCCCAUUACCAAGGCUUUAAGUUACCCAUUAGUUUAAUAAGGGCAAUCAAAGAGUGAUUUUUCUGCAACAAAAUGAGUUUACACCUUUGUUUCCCAGCAUUUUUUUCCACUAUAACAUUAAUGAAGAUUAAUUCUUCAGAUUUAUAAUCUGGCAGAGAAAUAUUAGAAAAUGCACAAAGUCUAAACAUACUAUUAUAUAUUAGUACUUACAUUUCAGAUUAGGAGCACAAAAGG